rnacentral:miRNA from 1 species
UACUGGCCUCUCAAUCCUUAUC